UACGUAGGGUGCGAGCGUUGUCCGGAAUUACUGGGCGUAAAGAGCUCGUAGGUGGUUUGUCGCGUUGUUCGUGAAAACCGGGGGCUUAACCCUCGGCGUGCGGGCGAUACGGGCAGACUGGAGUACUGCAGGGGAGACUGGAAUUCCUGGUGUAGCGGUGGAAUGCGCAGAUAUCAGGAGGAACACCGGGGCGAAGGCGGGUCUCUGGGCAGUAACUGACGCUGAGGAGCGAAAGCGUGGGGAGCGAACAGG
rnacentral:rRNA from 1 species